rnacentral:rRNA from 1 species
GACGAACGCUGGCGGCGUGCCUAAUACAUGCAAGUCGAACGGGGAAAGCUUUCGGGUGGGUACUAGUGGCGCACGGGUGAGGAACGCGUGGAUAAUCUGCCUUAGAGUGGGGGAUAACUAGUCGAAAGAUUAGCUAAUACCGCAUAAGACCACAGGAGCUGCGGCUCAAGGGGUCAAAGGUUUUUCGCUCUAAGAUGAGUCCGCGUAAGAUUAGCUAGUUGGUGAGGUAACGGCUCACCAAGGCGACGAUCUUUAACUGGUCUGAGAGGAUGAACAGUCACACUGGAACUGAGACACGGCCCAGACUCCUACGGGAGGCAGCAGUAGGGAAUAUUGCACAAUGGAGGAAACUCUGAUGCAGCGACGCCGCGUGAGUGAUGAAGGCCUUCGGGUCGUAAAGCUCUGUCGCAGGGGAAUAACACAAUGAAGGUACCCUGUAAGAAAGGAUCGGCUAACUUCGUGCCAGCCGCCGCCGUAACAC